AAUCCGAGAAUUUCACCUCCAACGCAGCAGUACGAAUGCCCCCGUCUGUCCCUCUUAAUCAUUACCUCGUGCUCCGAAAACCAACAAAAUAGAACCGAGGUCCUAUUCCAUUAUUCCAUGCACCACUAUUCAGGCAUAUGCCUGCGUUAAGCACUCUAAUUUUUUCAAAGUAAACGUGCUAGCCACUCAAGGCACUCAGUAAAGAGCACCAAGAGAAAACCAGCAAGGUAGGUCACGACAACUAGUAUUCCGAGAAGGAAACCAGAGUCGAUGACCGCAGAUCCAACUACGAGCUUUUUAACCGCAACAACUUUAAUAUACGCUAUUGGAGCUGGAAUUA
rnacentral:misc_RNA from 1 species